rnacentral:rRNA from 1 species
UGAGGGAAAGUUGCAAAGAACUUUGAAGAGAGAGUUCAAGAGUACGUGAAACUGCCCAGAGGAAAACGGGUGGGCCCUCGAAAUCCUCUUGCGGAGGGAUUCAGUCGGGAGUCGGGGAACGAGACGGUUGUGCCGGACCACUGAAAUGGCCGCGCCUUCCGACUCGGGUUUCUCCGGCGCCCGACGCACUUCCCCCCGCACCGAGGACGCCGCGACCGAUCGGGACACCGGCCUUAGGGCGGCCCCUGCUGUCAGACGGAUGCCGGGGCUUCGUCCCCGGCGAUCGUUUCGAAGCGGCGGUCGAUUUCUGGCGCGGAGCCCGAUCGAGGUCGACGUUCCCCCUACGGGGAACAACACGUCUCCUGCCUUUCGGCAGCGGAGCACCGGGUCAGUGUGCACCGUCGAGGCCGAACCACUCUUCCGAGUGGCCGGUCCGACGGGAUGCCGUCGUUGGGCCCGGGCGACCGCGGAGGGAAAUAGAGACUGGUCGGCGGCGAGUAGGUCGGUCACCCACCCGACCCGUCUUGAAACACGGACCAAGGAGUCUAACAUGUGCGCGAGUCGCAGGGUCUUGCCCAGGCCCUCGGGCGCAAUGAAAGUGAAGGCCUUCCUCGCGGAGGUCGAGUUGGGAAUCCGGACUCGUUUCCGGAAGCACCAACGACCCGUCCCCUCCGAUCCGUCGGUUGGGCGGAGUCCGAGCGUACACGUUGGGACCCGAAAGAUGGUGAACUAUGCCUGGGCAGAACGAAGCCAGAGGAAACUCUGGUGGAGGUUCGUAGCGGUUCUGACGUGCAAAUCGAUCGUCAGACCCGGG